GAAAUUGUUAUUCAGAUGAUCUCUUCCAUAGGCUCUUCGUUUGAUCUAUGUUGUUCAGUUGGUCGUAGAUCGUAAGCUGCACCUCUUUUUUGGUGUCACAAAUGUUUUGUCACAUAUAUAUACUCUCUUUUUUGAGGGAGUCAGACUUAUAGUUAUAUACUUGCAUAGUUUGUGUGUGUAUUACGGCAGUCAACUAGCACAGCUGAGUUAACUGCCGUCUCUGGCUGCAUCUCCUGAGCCCCGCCCGCCCGACCACGCUCCACCACGGCGACUCCACGCCUCCCACGCGCCACCGCCGACGCCACCGUAGAUCUCACCGCCCCCACCUCGCGGCAUGCCUCCACGCCGACGAGAGCCACGAGCGGCGACCGCGGCUGCACCCCCUUCCCCUCCUCGGAUACCCCCACAUAUCCUCGAAUCCAUCCCAGAGAUGGUGAAACUAAUAUUGCCGGUUCCGCAGGGGAUACUCAUGGUGACCGGGGCCCGAGGGUGGGUGGAGCGGGCGACCAGGAUCCGCGACGCCACCGCGGCGUGGAUCCGGCGCGUCCAGGAAUGGAAGACGGCAGAUCAGGGCGACAGAUCCGUGCGCGAGCUCCGCGGCGAUGAGGUAUGCGGAGAGUUGCUAGAGGAGAGCGGAUCUGGAGCAGAGGAUUCUAGCGAAGGUGAUCUACGACGAGGCCACAAUGGAGGAAAGGGCAAGGAUGCCCGCCUUCCCGCACUCCCUGCCAGCUGCGUUUGUUCUGUGGGCGAGGGCGGAGGAAAAAUCAGAGGAACCACGAAGGGCGCUGCGAUGGGAUUGCUUGCUGGGAGUGAUGCCGUCUGGGGCGCCACUGCAGCUCUCAUCCUCGCCGCCGGAGAUUAGCCGUGUUUGAACACAUCUCCGCUGGUGGAUGCCCCCAUUUCUGUCGCCAGAAAUUUGAAGAAUGCUGAAGAUACUCUGCAGAGAGGUGCGGAGAUUGGGAAAUUGCAGAACAAGCGAGUUUCGUUCGACCCUGGAGGCUCAUCACCAAAUAGAGAUGCUGACACUGAUAACUACCUAAUACAUUCAAGACCUAGAGGCAGAUUCUGGGCAUUGGGCAAGGUAGAUGAAGAGGACGAGGGGCUAUUUGCAGAUGAAGCUGAACAGCGCAGCCCGUACUUGGCAACAUUUGCAGAUGCACUGGCUUGUGCUAAGAAGAUGAAGUCUGGUAGAGAUAAACAAAAGAAGAGAAAUAGUGGGGGAGAAUCUGAUUCCAAAACUCGGAGAGAUAAGAUAGAGAGGAGCAUUUUGACAAACAAAUCUGUAAGUAUAUCUUCUCACCAACAUUCUGUUAGAACACCUUCUAUUCGAGGUGGUUUGAUGCAGACUGAGAGAUGGUAUCAGAUCAUUGGCAGGGAAAAAAUCGAUGUGGGCAAUGACUCUGAACCUAACUGGGUGCAGAUGGGGCGUGGAAAGAAGAGGGGGAUUAAAUCAGCGUUUUCUCGAUGCCCCUCUUGCAACACGAUCGCCAGCACGUCAGGAAGGGGAAACAGGGGAUGAUUUGGAAUUCAGAGGGAAAAACUUUAUUUCCAUUCGCACUAUAAAGAAAACUGGGCCGGUUUGGAAGGGAACAGGCCAAGAAAGUGGAAAAGCCUAGUGGCCCAUGAAAAGGAAGGGACAUAUACACCCAGACCACAACCUGGGUGUUAAUCCUGAUCUAUUCCUACGCCCUAGGGUUUCUCACCUAUGGUGCGAUCCUCCCCCGCCGCCGCAAACCAGAGCAGCGCACCUCCUACCGCAACCAUGGCGGAUCGUUUCGACUUUGAGAGAGGUGGGGGUGGAAGAGAGGUUGAUAGGGGUAACAAUUGGAGAUCGGGAAGUGGUUACGGAAGGGAUGCUCAAUUUGAUCGCCAUGAUCAAGGGUUUCAAGCUCGUCCUCGCCCUCCCUUCAGGAAUUUCCCAGGCAAUCAAUUUCAGAGAGAUGGAUACAAUAACUGGAAUCAUGAAGGGGGUGGCAGCUGGGACUCGCGUCAGUUUCAUCAUAGACCGCCACGGCAGUUCAAUUUGCCGCCUGCUGCCAGUAAGUAUCAGCUGAAGAACUCCACAGUGGCUAGCGGUGGAGGAGCUACAGGGAGUGAAAUUCAGACAUCAAAAACUGUGUCUACAAGUGCAGUGCAGACUGGCAAUCCGGGAGGGGCAGGUGGAUCUGACAACAAAAACCCUGGAUCAGAAAAGAUCAUCUGCCACAAGUGUGGGGAGAAAGGGCAUAACUCCAAGGGAUGUGAAGCGAAGGUCAAGUGCUCUAUCUGUACCAAAGAUACACAUGUUGUUGAGUUCUGUGCCUGGCUACGUCAAAAAAAGCUGGUAGCUUCUCUGGUGGGUUUUGGUGGCGAAGGAUUGGGCAUAUUUGUGGCUGAGCAUGCAAAAGAUUUGGUUGGGAAUAAUAAGAAUGAUGUUGUUGCUUUAGUGAGGCUGAGAGAAGGAUGUGAUUUGGACAUUGAACCAGAGGUCCUAAUCAAGAGUCUGGCGAAAACAUACCCUUGGCAAUGGGAAUGGAAAGCGAAGAAGGUAUCGGAUGGAGUCUUUCUUGUCAAUUUCCAUUCUGCAACAAGAAUCAACGAAGUUGCCAUCUACGACUGGGUUCUGCUGAAAGGAGGUAACAUCUUGGUUAAUGUGAGGAUUUGGAAUGAUGAUGCUAUGGCUGUGGGAAAACUAGCAGUGGUGUGGGUCAGAGCCAAAGGUGUUCCAAAAACAAUGAAGAACUACCAUGGGUUGUGUGAGAUUGGAUCAAUGAUCGGCUACACACAGGCAGUUGAUAUGGACUUAGUUAACAAAAGUGGGCUAGUGAGAAUAAAAGUUGUUGUUGUGGAUCACAACAAAAUCCCCAGAUGAACCAAACUGACCACACCUAAUCUCAUGGUGUAUAGGAUUUUCUAUGAGGUGGAGGAGGUUGUGGAUGAAGGAUGGGCCAAAAAUGAAGAUGAACUGUCGCAGGGAUACGAGGACUGGAUGGAUUUUCAGCUUGAAGAGGAGGAAAGUAGAGACCCUAAAAAAGCUAAAAUUGAUGAUGUUGACACUGUAGUCAUUCAUGCAAGUACAAGAACCAAGAUGGCAAUGGAGGAUAGGGAUGUUCAUGUGAAGGAACAGGAAGAAAAAGACAAACUGAUGUAUUACAAAAAUCAAGACAAUGAAAAAAUGAGGAAGAAAGAUGAGGAAACUGGGUCUACUUCAGUCAAUGGUGGUGAAGUUGGUGAGGCUGGGAAGGAGAUACAGGAUAAAACAAAUGAUGAUGAAUUAGGAGAGGAAUUGGAAACAUCCAAAUCUGUUAGCCUGGGCACAAAGCUUGGGAUAAAUGGUCAGGAAGAUGAGGGAAUGGUUAAUAACAACAACUCUGAAGGAAAUCAAGGCUUACCCAGAUACAAUGGAAGAAUUGCUUCGAAAAACAUGGAUGACAUUCCUAUAUUAGACAGGACCAUGACUUUGGCAAGAGCCAAAAAUCUGGCCUUAUCUGAAGGUGAAGGAGGAAAAAAAGGCGGAGCUACAACAGGGCGCAAAGUUGCUGGAACGAGUCGCCAGUGAGAUCUUCCAAGCGCGAAAAGGGUGGGCAUCGUGGAUUCCAAGGAUGUGGAAUUUGAUGAAGAGGAAUCAUUAUCUUGUGAUGUCUGAGAUAUGAUGAUAUGUGUUUAGUACUCACUGGUCGUUUUCAUCUCUACUAGUGUGUGUCCUGAGAGAGCAAACUAGUGAGAUCGUUUUCUUCGGAGAAUUGCUUUCGGUCUUAGGUGGAAAGGAUACUGUCUCUAGGGGUGUGUUUGGGCUGUAAUGAAUGACUUAUGGUUGCGUUAAUGAAAUCGGUGGCCAUCCCUUUUAUCAAAAAAAAAAACUAGCACAGCUACGUGCCUGAUGGUUACUUGGGUGCCUUGAAUUUCCUGCUGUUUUUUUUUUGUGUCCAGAAUUUUACCUUUUUUAGAUGAGUAUUAACUAGUUGAAAAUGUACUCCUGGAGCAAAGGUAAAUAUGCUGGAUGGUUCAUCUUUGCCUGGAUAA